rnacentral:lncRNA from 1 species
GUGGAGACAGUAAGAACAAAGAAGAGGAGGACUAUGCCAGGUAACAGCUCUUCUGAGGGCAGAGGGGGAGCCUCUGAAAAACCCAGGCUUGCUCAAGCCUUUUGCAGAAAGGGCAAGGCCCAGAGCGCUGUGCCUCUCUAACAUAACCCACGUCAGAAGGUACGGGCCCCUCUCGACUUUGAGGGUGAGAAAAAGGCUCCUGGCUCAUAGUUCCACAAUUCCAAUUUCAUGCACAUUUGGAUAGGCAGAGGGCCCGACAGCAGCCUGUUUCCAGUACACUUUGCCCCUGCCAUAUGCCAAGGACCAUGUGAGUCUCAUUCCUUUCUGUGUCCAAAGUCCUUAAUCCAGGGCCUGGCACAUUAUGAAUCAAUGGGAAGUGCUUGCCGCUUCUUUUGUAAGCUGUGGAGCCUGGAUAGUGGCUGAGAGAGAAGGGGCUACACCAACCACGAGAGCUCAGCCUCUGCAGCCUGUGCAACUCACCUGGGGAGCCUUGGAAGCCCUACCCGCAGAAAUUCUGACUAAACUGAUCUUGGAUGGUGUCUAGGCAUCAGCAUUUGCUUUUCUUUUGUUUUUAAAAAGAUUUUUUUUUUAAUUUUUUUUUUCAACGUUUAUUUAUUUUUGGGACAGAGAGAGACAGAGCAUGAACGGGGGAGGGGCAGAGAGAGAGGGAGACACAGAAUCGGAAACAGGCUCCAGGCUCUGAGCCAUCAGCCCAGAGCCUGACGCGGGGCUCGAACUCACAGACCGCGAGAUCAUGACCUGGCUGAAGUCGGACGCUUAACCGACUGCGCCACCCAGGCGCCCCUGUUUUUAAAAAUUUUUAAUGUUUAUUUCUGAGAAAGAGAGAGGGGCAGAGGAGGGGCGGAGAGAGGGAAACAGAAGAUCUGAAGCCGGCUCUGCGCUGACAGCAGACUCUGAUGUGGGGCUGGAACUCACAAACGAUGAGGUCACCACCCGAGCCCAAGUACAACCACUGAGCCAUCCAGGAGCCCCUAGGUAUCAGCAUUUUCAGAUGGUACAUUGGAGUGCUUCACAAACCUGUAAGUGCUGCUAUCCAGUCACUGGUACAGACACAAAUAAAGAUAAAUCUUCUCGAAGGAAAUUAACUGAAGCCAGCGGGCCAUUAGCUAACCCUUCUGGAACACUUCACUGUGGUCAUACAGAGAGACAACUGAAAGAUGGACAAUUAAGAUCUGGCAACAUGCAAAAGGUUUCCUCUGCACCAGAUGUAAAUGGCACCAGCAUUUUUACCAGAAAGAAAGCUGCUUUAAAAACUGGCAAAAACAAGCAAUGA